GUGAUUCCUUGAUGGUUCCGUUUACGUUCUGAACCGCUGUUUCAGCAUUAACGGCAACGGAAGAGGUAGUACCGUCUUCUUUUACCUGAAUUUCUUUAUCAAUACUGCUUUGGACGAGAGUCGAUGGAUCUUUGUCAAACUGUUGAGUCAUUGACGGAAUAAUUGUAGUAUCAGCAACAGAUGAAUCCGUCGACGUAAAGAACGAUCGUACAAACGAUUUCAUAGACUUGUUGUCUCUUUCCGUAGGUCCGUUAACAGUAUACUUGCUCGAAUCCUGGAUUCCCGUAGGAAUAUUAUUUGAUUGCUGUUCCAAGGAGGCUUUGGGAGUUAUAAUCUCUUGCCAAAACGCAUCGUCGAAAACCUUGUCUCUUACGUCAGAGGGAGCGUGAAGAUAGGCAAAUUUCAGGGCUGUAUCCCCCUUCAACCUAAGUUUAUAUGUGAUUUUUCCAAUCAAUUUAAGCUUAUCCAUAGAAGAAAAAUCUCUUUUUAAAGGCUCCAGUCCUUCCGGCAGAUAGAAAACUUCUUGUGUAGCAAAAGUCACGAUCGUUUUCCAAGUAGAACCCGGGAACGACCUAUAGGUAUCCAAAGCAGUUAAUUUAUCCUUCUUGGAGAAAUCCUUUGUAAAAAAUUUAACUUUGGAAAUUUCAGUGGGAAACAGAUCAGGAAAUCUGUCAAAGAUGAGAGCCAUUCUAUUCAGGAAAGCGAGGUAAUAUUCAAGUUGUACAUGUAGCGAGCCUUUCGGAGGGUUAUAAAUGCAUUGCUUGUGAAUCAUAUCAAUCAAUAUGGGCGUAGAAGUGUAGUAUUUGUCCAAGAAAUGUAUCAGUGUUGCAGGGAACCAUCGCGCAUACAAAAGCAGCAAAAUAGUCGAGCUUGGGCUUAAAUUGUUGUACAAAUCCUUGUAAGAUUCCUCGAUAUCUUCAUUUAUAUGAGAUGCAUGCGCAUCAUUAUAAUGUGAAGAUUUUCUUUUCAUUGUGUUCAACCAACCUUACGCGCGCGCCUUAUUUCCGAAUGUUGUUUACGUCUCACAAAACAAGUCAACGUGACAAUUGGCCUACAAAGUAAUGGUAGUUGUCCAAAAUUUUGUAAUUAUAUAUUCUUCAAAAGUAGAUUCUUCCAAUUUCCCAAAUCCGUCCCUCCACGAUGGAGUUGGUAAAUGGAAAAGCUAUGUAUUUCAUUACAACCUAUACAUCGUAUCCAUGACCUCAUGGGCUAGUUUAGGAUACGAACGCUGGAAUGCGCCAAAAUCGCUUAGUGAAAUUGAAGCCAACAUCCUUAAUUUAAAAGGCUUGAAUUGGCUCAAAUAUGCAUAUAAACGGUGCUGCUUCUCAAUCCUAAUUAAACAAUUAUUUGUAAUUCAAUUUAUAUUUUAUCAAUUUCUCUUCAUUGGGAACAAGACCUGAUACUUCUUUUGUUUUCUGAUCCUAAAAAAACGGGAAACUGCGACUGGUUUUCCAGUCCUCGAUUUCUCCGAAUUGUAUCUUAGACGAGAAAUUCUCUCAUAAAUUCUUGGAAAAGCAGCUGUGUAAUUUUACACGCACUGUCAAAACCGAUUUGGUCGUAGAACUACUCGUUCGCUCCGUUAUAAACAAAAGAAAGUAUAUAGCGUAUGUUGGCGGAAAUCUUAUAAAAUUAUAUAAAAAUACAUGUGUUAUUUAUAAAAUACGAUAUCAGUUAAAAAUAAAAACUAAUUCGCAUGUAAAUAAUAACGAAAACCCCUGUUUUCUGCGUAUAUAUAUAUAUUUUUUUUUUCAAUUGAAAGACUAUCAAAUACAUGUCAAGAUUUUUCUUCUAAUAACUUGGAGAAGGAAUCUUGUUGAAAAGAUACUAUUUAUUUUGAACGGGUUAACUCUCAUUUGUUUGAUAUCUAUGGACUUUGCUCAUGCACAUCGUACAAAGCCGUUUAUAUGGUAAUGCUUUAACUAAACGAAAUUAAUCUCUUUUUUCCAAAGAUGCUAAAGAACUUUUAUUUAUUUUCACAUUCGUUCGGCAAGUAGGUAAUUUCCGUCAUAAUUCUAUAAGAGGCGAAUAUGCAAUUGUUAAUAUAUUUACAUCUUGUCCUUUCACACUUCAAAUAAUAAAUAAUAAAGCAAGAUUAAAAGCAAGAAAUACAAUUGAAAAAUCGUAAAUAUAUACAGAGAUUUUGUCUUCGGUAUGGCCUAUUCCACAUUGAAAAUUUCGCAACCCGGUAUGGUGGCUACAAUAUUAGUUACAUUCAAAGUGUAUUUGUUGAAUCUUUUGUGCACAGUAUAUGGAUCUGAAAUUUCAUUCUCAUUCACUAGAGGCAUCAUUGGUAAUAUUGAAUCCCUGGCAUGUUAUAUUGGGCUUUGUUUUUUUGUUUAUGGUAUGAAGGGAUAGGAUUAAAGGCUUCGUUCAAAAAAUAUAUCUAAUGUACAGUAGGUAUUCUGCAAUCAAAUUUUGAGUUUGUAGUCUGGUGAAUUUAUCGCACCAUCUAAUUGAGAUCGACAAUUAUCAAGGGAGCUUUCACAUAGAGUAUUAAGAAGCACUAGAGAUAUGGGUCAAAGCAUGUAUGGUUUUUUGUUUUCUUUAUUCAUUUUUUCAAAGUUUAAAUUUAAAUGGAACUUUUUAAGGCAUGUUGGCACCACCGAUUUGCAAUUCAAAAUUGAACCAAAUUAGCAACAUUUUGGAUUGGCUACUGUUAAUCAACCUUUAGAGCCUGCAGAAAAUUUAUCCAGAAAUGGAGUACAUGACUUCUCCAUUGUCAUUCAAAAUUAACAAGCGAAAAAACCAAAUACCAACAUGUGCUUCUAGAAUGGGUUAUGGGUUAUCGCGUUCUGAAAGUUGGCUGGAGACUCAAUCUUUUUUAAUUGACCUUGUUUAUCUAAUGAGCUCAAGUUUAACCAUUAUUAAAAAAUGAAUGCUCGAAUGCAAAGGUAUUUGGUUCCUUACUUUAUUAAUUUUGCGAGAAGCUUGUUUAUAGGCAUUCUUUGUACCGAAAUCAAAACCCGAUAGUCAAAUAUAAUAGUUUUUAAUCAUUAUAAAAAUGGCGAUGCG